UGCUGCUUAAACCGGGCAUGGUGGCGCUGUGAUCCCAGCACUUAGCAGACUGCAGCAGAAGAAUUGCAGUGAGUUCAAAGCCAGCCUGAACUACAUAGGGAGAUCCUGUCUCAAAAAACAAACACACGCCUCCCAAAACCAAACCAAACAAACGAAAAAACAAAAACAAUCACCGGAAAAUAUAAACCAAAAUCAAGGUUCUAAUUUUCUACCAGUUCUUAGCCUGUUCAACUCGCCGGUUUCCUAGAGACCUGAUUGUUUGGCCCCAGCUUAGGUAGCUAAACAAGAGCAACAUGGGCCCGGCUCCUCUUACCCACCCCCACCAAUAAUAAGCUGCUAACAGGGUGGCAAUGGCUCCAAAUUUUUAUCCUUUUCUCUGGAGAAUAUUUUACCCUUGGCCACAGUGGAGGCCGGAAGGAAGGAGCCUGCGCACGGCCCGCUGCUCCGACGUGUUCCCAGGGCCCCGCCGCCCUGCUGGGGACCAGGAGGCUGACUUGGCCGGACGGGACUCUGGCGUGGGCCAGAACGGGAGAUCGGUCUCACACGCCCCCAAGAAUCUUCUGUCUCUGGAGCACCCUUAGCAGCCCGCUCCACUCGCUGGGCAGGAAGAAGCACUGCCUUCCGGGUCUCUGUCCUCCUGGUCCUGUCCUCGCUCAGGGAGCAGCCGGGUGGGACCUGUGGUCCUGGAGCAGGGCGCAGCCGCUUCUCCUGAGGGGACGGAUCCCGAGGGUGCCAUGGAGGAAGAGUCCUGGAGUCAGCCCGAGCGACCGGACUGCGGCAGAAUUCAGACAGACAGGAGUGGCGUGCCCAGAGGCCCAUGGCAGCGGUGUCUGAGCGACCGCCCUCGCUGCCCAAGCGAUCUCAGCGCCCGAGGCCGGGGGAGAGGUUUGCGUGGCCCGAAGUGUGGGGUUCGG
rnacentral:lncRNA from 1 species